rnacentral:rRNA from 1 species
UACAAUAAAUAAGUUUUUUGACCGAAAGCAUUUGAUUUUAUCUUUAAUUGAGUAUUUUGAGCUCAUAAGUUUGUCAGGUAGAUUGUACCAAAAUUAUUUUUAUGUUGUGAUAAAUUAUUCGGAAUUGCUUAUAUCUGUUUAGUAGGUUCCUUUUUUGCUAUAAUUUGUUAGCUACGAUGUUAACAAGUAAAAAAUACCUUGUCUUUUUUUAGCUACCAAAGGGUUAAAAUUACCCAAUGUUUAUAAUAGUUUUACAACUUUUGUUAUUUAGAUGAUAGGUUUUAUUUAGUACCUACUAUUAUUUUAAUAUCUAGAAUAUUUUAUGAUUGAAUAAGUAAUUGUAAUAUUGACUUUGAUUCUCAAGAAUUGCCUGUCUGUUUAUUAAAAACAUUUCGGCUCAAAAAUUAUUAGUAGUAGUGCCUGCUCUAUGCUUUGAGUAAAUGGCCGCAGUAUCUUGACUGUGCGAAGGUAGCAUAAUUAAUUGCCUUAUAAUUGAAGGCUUGUUUGAAUGGUUUGACAAGGUAAUUUCUAACAUGGUUUAUAUAUUUGAAUUUAUUAAUGGGGGCACAGAAACCCCUAGGUUUAAUUAGACGGAAAGACCCCGGGAUCUUUUAUUUUUGUCUGGGGCAGAUCGUAGUUUUUCACUUAUGAUUAUGACCCUAAUGGUGCAUUGGUGUAAGUUACCCCGGGGAUAACAGUGUAAUAGUGCACUAGAGAUCAUAUCGAAUGCAUUGCUUGCCACCUCGAUGUUGACUUAGGCUUUAAGUUUUGGCGCAGUAGUUUAA